rnacentral:rRNA from 1 species
CUACGGGUGGCUGCAGGCGAGAAAACUUUGCAAUGUGCGAAAGCACGACAAGGUUAAUCCGAGUGGUUUGUGCUAAACGAACCUUUUGACAGUCCUAGAAACACUGUUGAAUAAGGGGUGGGCAAGUUCUGGUGUCAGCCGCCGCGGUAAAACCAGCACCUCAAGUGGUCAGGAUGAUUAUUGGGCCUAAAGCAUCCGUAGCCGGCUCUGUAAGUUUUCGGUUAAAUCUGUACGCUCAACGUACAGGCUGCCGGGAAUACUGCAGAGCUAGGGAGUGGGAGAGGUAGACGGUACUCGGUAGGGAGGGGUAAAAUCCUUUGAUCUAUUGAUGACCACCUGUGGCGAAGGCGGUCUACCAGAACACGUCCGACGGUGAGGGAUGAAAGCUGGGGGAGCAAACCGGAUUAGAUACCCCGGUAGUC